GCCGGGGUAGUUCAAUGGUAGAACAUUGCACUCAUAAGGCAGUAAAGUGAGUUCGAUUCUCACCCUCGGCA
rnacentral:tRNA from 1 species